GGACAAAGACAGAGUAUUGGGUGACCUACGUUCCUGUGGUGGUGAACAUGACUGCGAGUUCUCCAGAAGAACAAAUGCUGACUCCAUUCCCAAUGGUCCCUCCACUGCAGCAACAUCCAUCUACCAAGAGGAAGAGGAAAACGAUGAACAGCUUGAGAGUUAUUCAGUAAAAUCUGCUGCAUUAGAUGGCGCUGAAAAGUCUACCUCUUCAGCUGAGCCCGGUCCUGCACAAGCCGUCACACCAAAGCCAGAUAAAACAGAGCCUGUGCACGUGCCCCCAGAGGUUCCAGCUUCUGCUCUAUUCACCAUCGAUGAGCCGAAACAGACACGGC